GUGUUUAGGUUGGGUGACCACUACUGAUAGCUGCAGUUAUAAGGGACUUAUUGAACAUCUCGGCUUAGACAGCGAUAACUUUCAGAUGAAGUCUCUCCGCCCGGUGUAUAACUUUAGCAACCCUACUGAAGUUUUGGUAGACCUGUUUGUGACCUCCAUCACAGAUGUGGAUGAAAAAGCCCAAAGCUUCGCAACACAGAUCACACUUAUAUUGGGUUGGAUCAAUGAAUUCACAAGGUGGAACGACAGCGACUUUUGUGGGCUCCAAACAUGUACAAUUGAUAAAGAUAAGAUGUGGAUUCCAGACAUUACCAUUGCCGAAAG